GACGAACGCUGGCGGCGUGCUUAACACAUGCAAGUCGAACGGAAAGGCCCUGCUUGCCGGGUACUCGAGUGGCGAACGGGUGAGUAACACGUGGGUGAUCUGCCCUGCACUUCGGGAUAAGCUUGGGAAACUGGGUCUAAUACCGGAUAGGAGCCAUCUUUAGUGUGGUGGUUGGAAAGUUUUUUCGGUGUAGGAUGAGCUCGCGGCCUAUCAGCUUGUUGGUGGGGUAAUGGCCUACCAAGGCGGCGACGGGUAGCCGGCCUGAGAGGGUGUACGGCCACAUUGGGACUGAGAUACGGCCCAGACUCCUACGGGAGGCAGCAGUGGGGAAUAUUGCACAAUGGGCGCAAGCCUGAUGCAGCGACGCCGCGUGGGGGAUGAAGGCCUUCGGGUUGUAAACUCCUUUCGCUAGGGACGAAGCUUUGUUGUGACGGUACCUAGAGAAGAAGCACCGGCUAACUACGUG
rnacentral:rRNA from 1 species